CCUACGGGAGGCAGCAGUGGGGAAUAUUGCACAAUGGGGGAAACCCUGAUGCAGCGACGCCGCGUGAGUGAAGAAGGAUCUCGGUAUUUAAAGCUCCAUUAGCAGGGAAGAAGAAAGACGGUACCUGACUAAGAAGCCCCGGCUAACUACGUGCCAGCAGCCGCGGUCAUACGUAGGGGGCAAGCGUUUACCGGAUUUACUGGGUGUAACGGGAGCGUAGACGGUUGUGCAAGUCUGAAGUGAAAGCCCAGGGCUCAACCCUGGGACUGCUUUGGAACCUGUGGAGCUAGAGUGCUGGAGAGGUAAGUGGAAUUCCUGGUGUAGCGGUGAAAUGCUUAGAUAUUAGGAAGAACACCAGUGGCGAAGGCAGCUUACUGAACAGUAACUGACGUUGAGGCUCGAAAGCGUGGGGAGCAAACAGGAUUAGAUACCCUUGUAGUC
rnacentral:rRNA from 1 species